ensembl:lncRNA
CAUUAUACUUAAAUCAUGACAUGUAGCCCAAGAGUGAUUUCUCCCUUUUCGGCAUGGGAACCCUCCUCUAGUUGGGGAGAAUUAUCCUAUCUCAAGAUCUGUCGUGUGACCGGGCAGGGGACAGGGUGGUGGAACGGAGGUUGAAGAGGAAGACCCUCCCCGCUCCCAGGCCACCAUGGGCCCUGCUUACUGCUGGGAACUCCUGGACAUGGGCGCCUCAAUGGGACGCCCUUGCCUCACACAAGCUAGAGUGGAGGAAGAUUCCAGGGCGUGUCAUACCUCCCUUUAUUUGCCUAGCACCUUUAUCCUUCACAGGAACCGCACAGCGUGGUGGUGAAGACUGGCCUCUGCAUGAGGGCUUCUGCAAGCUUGUCUUUCUCUCAGACAAACCGCUUAUAUUAUUAGCUUUUCUCAGCAAUGAUAUCCCACCAGGGCAGCUGAUGCCUGGAGCUUGCCGGCUUGCACAGAAGCCUGAGGCUGAGUGUGGGGUAAGAGGCCAGUGGCCAAAGGGAAGUGUGCAGGGCCCUCCCCCUGGAGCGGGAGCCACCCCGCCCACCCCACGUGUACACUGAUGGAGACUUCUGUUGAGGAUCUGGAAGAAAGUGGUGGGAAGAGCAGACAGGUGCAGCAGAAGCCAGAGACAGGGCCGCUCAGUGGGCUCUGACUCUGACCUGUUGGGCAAACGGUGAGACCAGACUUAUGUCUGUUGUUAGGCACCAAGGGCCUCAUCUUCUUUCUUUCUCUUUUUCUUUUUGGGUAAACUCCCCUGCCACACACAACACGUGCCCAGUGAAUGCUGGUUAUCUUUGCUUUGUUUUCUUGUCUCUUGUCUGUUUUCAGCCGUCCAUCACGGUAGCUGUUUCUCUCAGCUGUGGUUAUUGCACGUUUAAGAACUGUGUUGACCAGUGGGGCUAGGGUUCAAGCCCUACGUCCCCAAAUAGAAGCUUUUCUUGGGAUUCCCUUACACAGUACCAGCACCGUUGGUUUCUAACCAGGAGGGAAUCUAGUCUCUCGUAUCACAAAGCUCACAUCUAUCCAUUGAGUCUUGAGAAUAAGAUGGUUUUUUUCCUAAAGAGAAGGAAAGUGGGGAAUGAGAAAGUCGGGGGUGGCAGCAGAAAACUGCUGAGCAGAAGAGUCAAUCAUAUGACAAAUGCAACCAUCUUAAUCUUCUAAUAUGUGUGUGAAGCAGUAGGUGGCAGGGGGGAGGGGCAACGAAUAUUUAUGCAUCUAUUAGGUACUUGGCAACACUAGUAUAUUACCUGUGUGAGUAGAAAUCAAAAGACAGAUACAAAGAUACCCUCUUUAAACUCGUCAGCUUAUCAUUAAUUCAUAUGUGCUUUAUCACCUUGUCAUCUAUCUGUCUUGGUAUUUUUGCAAGAGGGUAUUAUGACUUGAAUUGUGUUUUCCCAAAACAUCGUGUUGAAGCCCCCCCCCCCCCCGCCCAUAUCUCAGAAUAUGCCUGGAUUUGGAGAUAGGGUCUCUAAAAUGAGGUCAUUGGGAUGGACCCUAAACACCUUCAUUUCAGAUUUCUGGCUUCAAAAAAUAUGUGACAAUAACUUCCUGCUGUUUUAAGCCACCCAGUUUGUGGUACUUUGUUAUGGCAGCCCUUUCAGGAAGCUAACACAGAAAAGAAAUAGGGAGUUUUUAAAAAAUUAAACAUUCUCAGAAAAAUAAAAAUGCUUGCAUAUGCUCUGACCCUACA